UGAAAGAUGGGAGCAUUCUUCCUCUGGUCUGGACAAGCCCAUAUUAAGUGGGAGAUGUUCAAUAUCAACCCGAUGAGAGGCAGCAAAUGUGGAAAUGGACGCAAGUCAAGGACAGCUGCAGACAGCAAAAUAUUGAAACUGAUACAACGAUUGUGCUGAAUCACCGAAGAUAUGAGCCAGAGUGCGAACAGUAUACUCGUACAGUUUCGCAGAAUAAACCC
rnacentral:lncRNA from 1 species